GACGAACGCUGGCGGCGUGCUUAACACAUGCAAGUCGAACGGAAAGACCCUGCUUUUGUGGGGUGCUCGAGUGGCGAACGGGUGAGUAACACGUGAGUAACCUGCCCUUGACUUUGGGAUAACUUCAGGAAACUGGGGCUAAUACCGGAUAGGAGCUCCUGCUGCAUGGUGGGGGUUGGAAUGUUUCGGCGGUUGGGGAUGGACUCGCGGCUUAUCAGCUUGUUGGUGGGGUAGUGGCUUACCAAGGCUUUGACGGGUAGCCGGCCUGAGAGGGUGACCGGCCACAUUGGGACUGAGAUACGGCACAGACUCCUACGGGAGGCAGCAGUGGGGAAUAUUGCACAAUGGGCGGAAGACUGAUGCAGCAACGCAGCGUGCGGGAUGACGGCCUUAGGGUUGUAAACCGCUUUCGCCUGUGACGAAGCGUGAGUGACGGUAAUGGGUAAAGAAGCACCGGCUAACUACGUG
rnacentral:rRNA from 1 species